rnacentral:rRNA from 1 species
UACGGAGGGGGUUAGCGUUGUUCGGAAUUACUGGGCGUAAAGCGCGCGUAGGCGGACCAGAAAGUUGGGGGUGAAAUCCCGGGGCUCAACCCCGGAACGGCCUCCAAAACUCCUGGUCUUGAGUUCGAGAGAGGUGAGUGGAAUUCCGAGUGUAGAGGUGAAAUUCGUAGAUAUUCGGAGGAACACCAGUGGCGAAGGCGGCUCACUGGCUCGAUACUGACGCUGAGGUGCGAAAGUGUGGGGAGCAAGCAGG